CUGGGGUAGAAAAUAACCUUACACUUAGUGAACGAUCAUACUGGGACAGAGAGAGGAACUAAAGCUUCAGGGGAAAGGUCCUUCUGACAGGUUCAUGCAGCAAGCACCAGGAAGUGGUUUGGGAUGACCCAAUCAGCUGGGAUCAAAGACGAACGGCAGCUGCACUGCUCCAGAGACUCAGAUGUCCAUAUGUCUGAGAGAGAGAGAAAGAGCACACAAGCAAGAGGAGCAGGAGAGGGAGAAGCCUGCUGAGCCUGAUCUAGGACUCCAUCCCAGGACCCUGGGGUCAUGACCUGAGCCGAAGGCAGACACUUAACCAUCUGAACCACCCAGACGCCCCUGUAAUA
rnacentral:lncRNA from 1 species